AUUUCUUAAGAAGAUAUCAAUUUUCAUUUGAUGUAGGGCAAAUCUAGUGAGUGAAUUAAUAAUGAUAGUUAAUUUCGUACUAUGAAUAUUGUUGCAUGUCGUUUCUAUUCAUUGUAAAGCCAAAUAAUGUUCCUAUAACAGGGCUUCCUCAACAUUGUGUAUGGCUUGGGAUUGCUAGUACUUUUCUCUUAAAAACUGAAAAUCAAUUUGAGUUCGUUAUUGGAAUCCAAGUGUGUGGAAGAAAAGCAUGGCGGUCUUUUGUUUUUUAAAUUCAUGUGCAUUGAUUUAUUGCUUAGAAAUUUAUGAAAAAAAUUGAAAAGCAUGUUAAUUUGAUGAUUUAAUAUAAUUUUGAAAUAAACUAAUUAUUUUGAAAAUUUUAAAACGUGUUGAUGAAUUUGAAUCCCAACUUUCAAAGGAUGGAAGUCUUUAAGAAACAAUACUUUUAUGACUUGCAUGUCAUAAGUGUGAGUGUCCCUAUUCCAUUUUCAUUAGAACGAUGACUAAUUGAGUACUAUGAAUAUUGCUGCAUGUCGUUUCUAUUCAUUUUAAAGUCAAAUUAUGUUCUCAUUUGAAUCCCAAUAUUGUUCUGCAUGGCUUGGGAUAGCUAGUAUUUUUUCGGAAGAGAUGAAAAAUCAUGCCCCCACAGCAGUUUCUAUGGAUCACUUGUCAUUUUUACACAUCUCUAAUCUUAAAGAGAUAUAAUGCCUGGAUGGAAAGUAACUUCAACACAUAGUCAGAAGAGAGGAAGCAAGUUUGCAGAAGAAACGAGGAAAAGAGUACUGUAAGAUUGGGGGCUGAAAUUCAGAAUUCCAACUGCAGACAAGUCAGAUUUCUAAGAUGGCUAGAAAACAAGUACAACUGUUGGGCAGUCAUGGAGAAAUCUGAAGGAAUUGCAAAAUUACUCAUCGAUCAACUGGACCUCACAAACGAAGAGGAUUGCCGAUGAAGCAUUUAACGAAACGAUGCACUUUGCAAAACUUAAUGGUUGUGUGUUCACAAACUAAGUCACAUUCUCAAAGAAGGUUAACAAUGUUUUGUGAAUUAUGUGGAAAAAGAUGCAGCUAUCUACCAAAAAGUUAUGUUGCUUUGCAAAUUUUUUAAAGUGGGGGUUUGGUAGAAUAUGAGAGAGCAUUUUCAUUAGGUUGGUUGGUGUUCCUCAGAAAACGAAUUUUGAGAUGAUGGAGAUUCUAAGAGAGCAAAUUGCAAAGCUAAAGACACUACAAUUGAUUAUUCCAAAGAGCUUUGCAAGAAAGUGUUUGUAUUCCCUCUGAGACAUGUAACCAAAUGAUGCACACUCCAAGGCAACAUGGCUGGCAUCCUCAACAUUGACGUGCAUUGUUUUGUGAUUGCUAGUACAUUUCCGCAAGAGGUUAUAAUCCUGCCUCAGCUGCAGUUUAUGGAUCAGUUCAAAUUUUCUACACAUAGAAUUCUUGGAUGGAAGUGGCUUCAAUAUGGUUGCCAGGAGAGGGGAAGUUGCAUUCCUCUCUUAAAGAACUGAAAAUCAAUUUGUGUCCAUUAUUUGAAUCAGGUAGAUUUCUAAGUUGUUGAAGAUUCUAAGAGAGCCAUUUGCAAUGCUAGAGACAAAACAAGUGUCGACUUCAUAUAUAAAAGAUGUUUAAGUGCUGUCUGGCUUCUCAGGUUUGUGUCUACUCAACUGGAGGUAGAUUCAUCCAAUGGUUUACUCUACUUCAAAGAGAACAAAUUGCAAAACGAGAGACAAAACAAUUUGCUUUUUCCAGGAAGGAAAGGUUUUAUAAUCUUGGAAUAAUAUUGAUGUCACAAACAAAUAGGAUUGCAAGAAAGUGUUUGUAGUAUCCCCUAUGAGGCCUUUAACCAAAUGUUUAACUCUGCAAGGCAACAACAUGAUUGUGACUGUGAGUAUUCUUUAAUAAGAUCUCAAUUUCUAUUUGAUGUAUAUCUGUUUACUCCUACCUGAGCGGAAAUUUUGAAAGACGUGUUUGUGUCCUAGUAAGUUAUAAUGCUUUGAAUCAUAUGUGUAGACGAAUUUGAAUCCCAACUUUCAAAGCAUGGAAGUCUUUAAGAAGCAGUACUUUUAUGACUAGCAUGCCAUAGAUGUGAGUGUCCCUAAUCCGUUUUCAUUAGUACUAAGAAUACUGCUCAUGUCGUUUUUAUUCAUUUUAAAGCCAAAUUAUGUUUCUAUAACAAGGCGUUCUCAACAUUGAGCUGCAUGGCUUGAGAUUUCUAAAAGAAGUGAAAAAUCAUGCCUCAGCUGCAGUUUAUAUGGAUUAGUUUUACACAUCUCUAAUCAUAAAGAUAUAGAAUGCUUGGAUGGAAAGUGGUUUAAACAUGGUUAUCAGAAGAGGGGAAGUUGCCCUCGCGCUUAAAGAACUGAAAAUCAAUUUGUAUGGAAGAAACAAAAUUGAUCAUAUUCCCAACAUGCUUAUAGAUUAUGAAUUGAUCAUAUUCAAAGAGUAUCAUGUCUCGGUGAGUCGCUGAAAUACUUCUUCUUUCAUGUUUCUUGUUAUAAAUAUGCAAUUAAUAAAUAUUAUAAAUAUGUUGGGCACAAUCAUGGAGAAACUAGGAGGAAUUGCAAAACUGCUCAUGGAUCGUCUGUCGUGUUCUUCUAUGUAUGCUUUUCUCCUUAGAUUUGUUAUGGGAUUGAUUGUUAUGUUUAAUAAUAUAUUUUUGUUCACAAGGUUGAUUCAAAGAUGAAGGAGAUUCAAAGAGAACAAACUGCAAAGCGAGAGGCAAAACAAUUGAAAGAGAGGUUUUAUAAUCUUGGAAAUAUGGACGUCACAAUCAAACAGGAUUGCAAGAAAGUGUUUGUAUCUCCUUUGAGGCAUUUGACUCCAAAACUACAACAUGGCUAUGUGUAGAUGAAUUUGAAUCCCAACUUUCAAAGCAUGGAAGUCUUUAAGAAACAAUACUUUUAUUUUAUGACUAGCACACCAUAGAUGGUUCCUCAACAUUGUUGUGCAUGGCUACAGAUUGCUAGUAUAAUGCCUGGAUGGAAAGUAACUUCAACACGUAGUCAGAAGAGGGGAAGCAAGUUUGUGGAAGAAACGAGGAAAAAAGUAAUAUUCUGAAAAGGCCUUUGUUAAAAGUAUGAAGGAGUUUGGAUUGUUUUGUGUUGGGAAGAAGUUUGUUAAAGAUGCUGUCACCGAUACUAUUUUGAUGAGAUUUUGGCACCUUGAAAGUAGAUCUGUCCAAUGAUUUUCCCUUCAAAUCCGAAUGAUUGAUAUCCGUCUUGGGGCAUUCAAAAAUGGAGUAUCCCUGCCACCUUCAAGGAAAAGACGAGAGCCGUCUUGGAAAGACUCAAGAGUUUGGUUGAUCAUAGCAACAACUUUGCCUAGUUUUGUUGGAGACAUUGCAACACCUUUUUAUUCAUUUUUGUUUUCUGAUAAGUGAAUAGGUUACUCGAGUUCAGUUGCUGUAAUAAAUUGUAACAUGUAAAACAUAAAUAUGAUUAAUAAAACGGAACUACAGCUGCUCUGUAGUCGGAGACGUAGGCACAAUUGAAUUGGCCGAACUUCGCUAUCAAAUAUCGUGUGUUCUCUUUAUGUAUUUUUGUCGUAUUUGUUUAGUUUUGAAUUGGAAUUGUUGUUUUAACAAUUUGAAAUACAUUGAAUUUUGAACUCU